UACGGGGGGGCAAGCGUUGUUCGGAAUUACUGGGCGUAAAGGGCUCGUAGGUGGCCAACUCAGGCGGAUGUGAAAUCCCCAGGCUCAACUUGGGAACUGCAUCCGAUACUGGAUGGCUUGAAUCCGGGAGAGGGAUGCAGAAUUCCAGGUGUAGCGGUGAAAUGCGUAGAUAUCUGGAGGAAUACCGGUGGCGAAGGCGGCAUCCUGGACCGGAAUUGACACUGAGGAGCGAAAGCCAGGGGAGCAAACGGG
rnacentral:rRNA from 1 species